rnacentral:lncRNA from 1 species
CUCUAGAUAGGUAGCUAUGUUCACCUGGCACGGAUUGUGUGCUUGAGAGAUGGAAGAAACUGUUCGUGUUUCUGUAUGUCGCUGCGCUGCGUUGUGGUGGAGUCGAGUGUUUAUUUCUGAGUUUGAUAGUGGUAGAUCCUGAUACAUCAUGCUCUCCAGUAGGGGGCUUCUAUGAGCUUUUACUGCUGGGAGUGAAUAUGGUUCUCCGUAUACUUGUAUAUACAUGUAGGUAUAUAUUUAUACAUGGACAGGUGUGCUCUUGGAGCCUGAUAUGAAGCGAAAGAGUGUCCUUCACAUCCCCUUUGAUUGAGCGGCAUGCGUGCUUGAAGGCAAUGGAGGCACACGCCACUGCUCGUCCAUCACGCCUCGUGACGAAGACGCUUGUUUUGGCUUGGCAUGACUGUGCAAUUGUGUCCCUUUGUAGCGUUCGCUGAAAUACGGUAGGCAACGAGUAGGACAUCAAAGACGGUGGUGACCAGCGUGAGUGGAUCCGUCUCAUGUUCAUUCCAGUAGCCUUCUCCCUGAUAGAGCCAAGCCUACUGAUAUAAGAAUGAUGGACAGAAUCAGGUCGCUUGCGCAGCUAUUCGUCAGGCCGGAAUCUCACGACGUCGACCAACACUCGGUGUAGUCGCGUGUGGUGGUGAGGGUCGCAUCCCUUGCUUGUUGGGUGUGAUCUCAACUGUAUCGGGACAGCUAUGAAGACGACCAGCGCCAUUGACAGAGGUGAAUGUGUGACUUGCAUGCCAAAGCCAACUUAACGCUGCAGCCGUCGUACGAUUUCGACAGCAAACGGCGAUAGAGAGUGCACAUCAGCGGAGGUGCUGGCUUCUGGAGGCGCAGAAGCCAACGUGGUGCACGAAGGAGUCCAUGCCCUCGUGGUAGCUGAUUCUGGAUUCCACACGCUUCAUGGACUACCUAGACAUUGGCGACUUACGAGACGACUUAUCUGACCCACAGGACAGACAGCACAGUUGCUGGUGUCCAUUGUUAUGGGGAACGGCUCGGCCGUGUGGUCAACGUAUAUAGAAAAGCAAUAUGGACGGCGUGGAAUGCCGAACCGCGAUACGUGCUGUGUGGGGUGGUGUCGACGUUACGAUUAUAAUCGGAAGGUUGAAUAAUCAAGACAUGGUAUUCCAAACCCGAGUGUGGAUAGGUAAAAACUGCGUGAAUGGUAGGAUAGUGUGCGCGCUUCUAAAGAACGUGCACGCGGCGAUAGGCCGUCGGUUCCCUAACUCCUCGUACUGGCCAUGUGCGUACAUUUACAGCUUGAGGAAGUACGGCGGGUAGGGUGCUUUUGGGUGACGAUCCUCCCUAUGGUACUACGAUGUAACUGUGGAGUUUGCGCUCACUCUCACUGGUGUGGGGUCUAGUCCGUAGAAGGAAAAGACAGGCCUGUCAUUAGGUCACUGCAUCACAGUCGGCAAGACGCGAGAAACCAUCUUUUCACUUUCUGCGUAGGGCAACAAUCUGGUGCGACGAGAAUUUGCAUUAUAAAAAUUACGUGGUUCCUGAUGUGGUUUGUUGUCCUGCGCUAACUGUUGUGCUCAUCUACUUUGUUCUGCAAACGCCGCUCCAACCUGGCAGUUCGUAAAUUUACAAUUCAAUCCAAAUAAACCUCACACUCGAGACCCCUGCGGAGGCUGUGCUUCCGGUACCGGAAACUAUCGAGUCUCCAGGUGCCAUAUGUACUAUGGUAGAUGUGUUCCAUGUUGAGCAGUGAGGCGAGCUUUAAUAAGCAGACAGAUGCGAACCCCGUCAGUACCCAGAGACGACACCAGGGAAGUGAACGGUGACGCAACCUUGUGGCAGUGUGCAGGAGUGAAGAACUACACGACUGUCUCGUUCAGUUGCCGGUGCCGGUGCUAAUAACGGACAAGUGGUAUCACCUUUCGUAAUCAGCUGUUCGUAACAUGCAUCGGCAACAGUUCUUUCAUCUUGAGAAAACGAGAGCCUCCCAUGCAAGGAUACGAAAGGAGGUAGUCACGACCAGCAGAUAGAUUGGCUGCCAGUCUGUAGGAACUGAGCAGAUGGGGUCAGCGGUGUGUCGCAACAGUUAGCGCUGAGCACCAACGAAUUUCCGCUAAAAACAAGGCUUUGAUCACGGGUUUUGCUCGGCUUCUUACACGAUCUCCUGUGUUCGUGCAGCCACUUUCAACACACAUAUAACAAACUGCCGCGCACUUGGCAAUUGUCAUCGCACACGGCGGCAUACGCAGGCGUUGGCGGUGCUAUGUGCGAGAGUGGCGACAUGACAGGCUCAUCGAAUGCGGGCCCGAUCGCUUCCAUCGUUGACAUCCUCUGUGUUUUACCUACUUGACAGCUCGUGCACGUAUUGUCGUAGCCUGGACGCUCAUUGUUUGUUGGUUGUGUCUAGAAAAGCCAAGUAGGGGUGAACAGUUGUACAGUGCAAAAGAGCCGCUUGUAGGUUGGACUUCCGGCGGUGAGUCUACGAGGAGCUCACCGUAGUGGUAAUCUUUUUUUGCAGGUAGCGUGGUUGAAACAGGUUAAUAAGUGCGCUUCUCUUGUACAAGUUCAUUGGCAGUGUGUGCGUGUGAGCCUCGACUGUUAUUUCGUGGUCAGGGUAAACUGUAGAGCAGGGCGGAUCUUUAUGCUUCAUGGAGUUGUGUAGGAUGAUAAGUUUAAGCGAGUUGAGGGAUAGAGAAGCCGCCGGUAGAGAAGGGUGUAAACAGCCAGAAGAAAGAAAAUUUUUCGAAGUUUGUCGCCAAAUUGUCAGGGCGUUUAUUCAGGUGGACAACGUAAGAGGUGCAAAAGGGUCAUGAUAAAAUGGUGACCCUUACACGGUAUCAGUGCUGGAGACAAGGGUAGGUACCGGAGUGACCGCUAGACGAUUGAUCGAAUGCAAGAAAUAGAAAGGGCGUACUCUACAUGUUCAUUUUCACACUGAAGGAGCAUCGUCUCGCCUCCUGUCAAUGAUGCAACAAAUGAGCUUUUUUUACAGCAUUACAGUUUGUGCGCUUCCUGGCCUUUUCUGCAACUGGGUCAUGAUUGCUUCUUUUCGUGUUUUUAGUUGCUGCCAGGACAGAUGUGCAUGUCGUGAAUAUCCCUCAGUGGAACUGUGCCUUAAUUCUUGUUUUCUCUCUUCACUUGAGGCAUGCGACCAUGUCAUUCUGUAUUGCACGAGAUGUGUCUAAGGAGCCGUAUGGUUGUGUGUGUCCUAGCCUGAGAGCGUCAACAGCGGUGUAUGACUGAGUGCGGCGAUGACUUUGGAAUCGGGACGGAUUAUGCAUUGAGUUAAUUGCUCGUCUACGUUGGGUAAGCAGUCGUACCUGUUGCCUCUCUGACCUCUUUCACUAGUCGUCUCAGUUGUUUCUGGAAUAUGCUAGCUAUCCUAGACCACACCAGCUUGGGUCGAGUAUAAAGAGAGCUGGGUGAGUAGAUAAGAAUGGGGCUGCAGGUGAAGCGGACAUGAUCUAUUUCCAGAGCCCUGUUGAUGAGCAUUGUGAAGGUCUGACGGGGGGAGGACGGUCUGUGGAGUUCGCACUUAUUACAGUACAUCCAGAUUAGGAUCAACAAAUGAUGGCACGGUCCGAUCUGGCUAGUGGGUGCUGUUGGGUUUUGUCUUUCUUUACCAUUCUGUCGGAACUACAGGGCCCUCCACGCAACAUGCUGGCCAGACGCAGAGGAAGAGGGAUGGAUUCGUUGGAGAGGAUCUGUUGGCGGGCAUCGCGGGAUACGGGGGACACAAACACGAGACCAGCUGUGGAUGCGGCAAAUGGCGUCACAGAGAAAAUAAUCUUGUUUUAUAAGUAAGCGUCUUUCGUUGCCGCGAUCGAUGUGUUUUCAGGCAUCUAAAUCGACGGUGGAGGAAGAAAGUAAUUAGUGGACCGACGAUGUUGGAAGAACGUGACGACGAAACAGAGGGGGGGGGGGAAGGACGAAGGGGUAGAAGGUGAAGGAGUGGAGAGCAUGUUAACAGGAUAUUCUUGCAAGUUCCGGGUGGAUGUGUUUUAGCAGUUUGGUUCAUCUGGAUGAACGAGACUGUUGGUUCCCCGCCGUUCUCCACGUAAAAAAGAGAAAGUGUAGAAACCAAUAGCUGUUUGACCGUCUACAGCGAGAAUUUCCGCGUCUCACCUUCGAAUGGUGCCUCCUCUCUAUGCAUAUCGAUAACGUAUUGCUUGUCUGCGUCGCCAACGUCCCACCUGCAGAUACAGGAACUCGGAGGAACGACGAAAGAGGAGGUGGAUCGCGGAAACGAACAUGGAGGGAGAGAAAAAUUCGUUCGGAUUAAAAGGGUCACGUGGCUGACAAAGCUGUCAUAGGUGUCACACCAUUCCGGCGAGCGUAGUUGUUGCUGUCUUCAUCGUCCGCGUAUUGCCACGGAUUUUCUCCUGCAGCGUCAGCGUGUGCAUAUUCGCCGUCAGAUAGUACAACGAAAAGUGAAGAGGAAUAAGAGACCCACACGUGGCUUGCGUGCGUGUGCGAAAAAACAUUAAUAUCGCAUCUUGUUUGUGUGGCUAUAUGGGGAAUGCAAAUGUAGAUGAAGCGGUGUUUGUUUUGUUCGUUCGUGGAAGAAGGAAUAGUCUUCGCAUGGCCACGAGGUCCUACACGGGGUCGUUAGUGACGUGCUGACCUAUGUUUUGCAGCUAGCUGUUAAGAGAAAGAACCACACGACACAAACAUAUAACGGUGGACAGGGAUGUUUCUGAAGUGUGAGAAAGGUUUGUCCCGAAUUUGGCGUAUGCACUUCAUUAUCCGUUGCUAUUUUUCUAACUGCCAAAUGCUCCAACAAACUGCGAAGCAAAGUGUUUUUUCUCAUUUGCCAUUUUUUUCGUUAAAAAUUGACGCAAAGAUGUUACUGGAAUAUGGAAAACGACCUGUCAACCCAUUCCAAAAACGUGCACAAAGGAAAGAAGGAUUAUGAUUAGCAGCACCGGUAGCGCUCCACGAAAGCUGUCCAGGCGAUUGCAUCAACAACACUGCAUUGGUGCAAGUUUGCUCUGUGGAAGUGACCGCCCGUGUGUAAAGUGAACCGACGGUGUUAUGAUAGGUACAAAGGUCGGACGCGUGCAAACCGGUGUUUUUUGGUCGGUACUUCACGUAGUAUCUGUGAAAUCUCGCUAUCAGAUGGAUCAACGAUCGUAGCUGCAGUAGGCUAUCAUCCUACUCUGCUUGUUAGAGUUUUUCUUGAGCGAUUGCGGUGGAGCAAUUAACCUCAGUAUUAUCUUUCAUGUAUUCACUCCCACUCAUGCCGUGCCUCACAGAAGACGUUGGAUGUAGAAGCAGGGGGCACAUGGUGAAUUUAAAAGCAUUUCAGCAUGAGACUUCCAAGCCUCGGCCUCAGUGGCUUCGUGUACUCUACUGUUAACAUUUCAGCGCUGUAGGUUUACGGAUUUUAGGAACUAGGGGCAACCAGACAACAACUGGAACUAGACUUCCCCAUUACACAUUAUAAAGUGGGGGGGUUACGAUUCAGGGCUUUUGAGGGUGUAGGGGUACCUCUCAGAGUUUAGGGUUGGCUAAUUCGUGUCGAUAGUCCCUGCCUUCCACUGGUAUUGUGGAUUUGCCUUCACUGUAGAACAGUGUUAAAUAUGCAGGAGGAGCCAUCCGUUAAUUGUCAUCAUCAUCUCAAACAAACAAGAUGUUGAAACUGCCAGAUAAUUUUGCUUGUUGAGGGUGUAAAGGGUCCGCGUUUCUCACGUUCCAACAAAUGUCCGGUUUUCCGAUGCGAACCCUUCCAAGCACGCUACCGCGUUUGGGUCAAGCGUCAACGGCAAUGAUCUGAACCGGCAAAAUGGCUACAAAUGCGUCACAGUAUUUUUCUUGCAUACCCUGAAUUGUUAUUUUCUCACUCUACUAAUGGUACCGAGCGACUACCUUUGAAAAAAGCACGCGGUUGUUACCAUUUCCGAAAACGGAACCCUUCGGUGUCUCGAUACGUUUGCCCGCAAUGAAUGAUGUGAUUCGAGACAUCAAGCUUACAAACGUUCGUGCAGCGUUGGACAUAGGAAGGC